rnacentral:tRNA from 1 species
CCUAAGAUGAAAAUUCAUAUCAUUGAUCCCACAAACCAAUAUUUUUAUUAAAAUACUUAAGCAAA